rnacentral:rRNA from 1 species
ACGGAGGGUGCAAGCGUUGCUCGGAAUUAUUGGGCGUAAAGGGUAGGUAGGUGGUCUCAUUUGUCUGGGGUGAAAGCCUUGAGCUUAACUCAAGAAGUGCCCCAGAAACGGUGAGACUGGAGUCCUGGAGAGGGUCGUGGAAUUCCCGGUGUAGCGGUGAAAUGCGUAGAUAUCGGAAGGAACAUCAGUGGCGAAAGCGGCUUCCUGGACCAGUACCGACGUUCAGGCACGAAAGCGUGGGGAGCAAACAGGA